rnacentral:rRNA from 1 species
UACGGGGGGAGCAAGCGUUUGUUCGGAUUUACUGGGCGUAAAGGGCGCGUAGGCGGUCGUGACAAGUCACUUGUGAAAUCUCCGGGCUUAACUCGGAACGGUCAAGUGAUACUGUCGGACUAGAGUACAGAAGGGGCAACUGGAACUCUCGGUGUAGCGGUGAAAUGCGUAGAUAUCGAGAGGAACACCUGCGGCGAAGGCGGGUUGCUGGGCUGAUACUGACGCUGAGGCGCGAAAGCCAGGGGAGCGAACGGG